UUUUUUUUUGGAUGGUGUGGGGGAGAACUUAGCGUUGCGGUUGUGUGCACGCGUGUGCGUGUGUGCGCGCGCGAGUGUAAAAGCAGGGCGAAAGGGGUGUGCGAGGGGGUUGCACCCCCCCGCCUCUCUCCGGCUUGUCUGCGCGCACGUUCGCGCGCGCGCGUGUGUGUGUGUGAGAGAGAGAGCACGUGUGUGUUGUGUGUGUGUUUGUGUGUGUGUGUCGUUCUGACCGCCGAAAGCCUCUCGCUUUUCCACGCCACUUUUUUUUUUCAAUUUUAAUUUUUUUAAAAAGUGGCUUCCGUGGGGAUGCCUCCGAAGCACACGCGCGCACACGCACGCACACAUACACCCAUGCCAACAAUGAAAAAGGAGCACAUGAAACUUAGCACCCCCCAGCAACUGGACUGGCAGCGGACCCUCCUUGGCUGUGGAAUUCCCGGAGAUGGUUCUGAAGAAAACCGCACGUUCACACAUUGAUUAGAAACAGGAAGAAGGAAAACAGGCAACAGACCAACAGUACUUUCACCAACUCCAAGUUGAAGAUCGUCUCUGCAGGGUGGAGGAACACAUCACACUUCUGCAUAUGUAAGAGAACAAGAUAUGUUAAGAAGAAACCUUCUGGCUGAGAACACCCAAAUUCAGCAGCCUACUUCCAGCCAUAAGAUACCUGUCACCUCUUGGAAAGCUUCAGUGAAGAUGUCAACCCAACGAUUCCCCUUCUUCCUUGCAUCCAGUGUAUCUGGGAUUGAAAGACUCUACCACUUCAGGGCUGAGAGAAUGACUGUACAAGAACCUUGAAUGCUGCGCUGAAGACACGUUAGAGCUUCCUUUCUGCAUUGUGUUGAGUAUUCUUGAGUACUGGAGGGUGUUCCAUGAGCAGUAUAUGCCAGCUGCAGGCCACCUGCUGCCAACCCCUGAAACACUGUGCAUCAUAACUGACAACAUUUGGACUCCAGUGGGGCACAUUGCCAAGGGCAUCAUCAAGUACAGACUGAACUCAUCCUAGAAGAGGAGGAUGCAAGGUCGGUGAUACAGCUGUGGAACAUUCCUGUAUCCAUCACGAUUCAAAAAGAUCUCCCCCUAGAAGAAUUCUAGGGUUAUUUUAUGAAAAAUUCCCUUAGCUGUUCAACAGAAGUGCAGGGAUUCACAGAGCAGAACAGCUGAGUUCCCUACUCCUUUUUUCCCCUCAUCAACUGGCACUUAGAGUCUCAGUUACUCACUCAGAGAUAUUAGUGGGAGAAAGAUUAAAAAAAAUCUAUUACUCAAACUCAACUAGAUCAAACAGCAAACUGGCAAAAUAUGGCUGCUUGCAGCAACAGGCCUCAACACUUUCACAGACUGCAAGAGAGGUGGAAAAAAGGCAGAGCAGAGACGCAGGGUUCUCUUUGCAUCAGAGGCGAGAGGGAGCCAUUGGUUAGUGCUGGAUAGAUUGACAGUCACCCCAGCCCUGAAAGGUCCCUCCCAGCCAAACAUACUAAAGGCAGCAUGCGAGGUUGCAAUAAAACUCCAACAGAAUUGUGCA
rnacentral:lncRNA from 1 species